rnacentral:rRNA from 1 species
CUUAGGGAGGAGCUUGCGUCACAUUAGUUAGUUGGUGGGGUAAAGGCCUACCAAGACUAUGAUGUGUAGCCGGGCUGAGAGGUUGAACGGCCACAUUGGGACUGAGACACGGCCCAAACUCCUACGGGAGGCAGCAGUAGGGAAUUUUCGGCAAUGGAGGAAACUCUGACCGAGCAACGCCGCGUGAACGAUGAAGUAUUUCGGUACGUAAAGUUCUUUUAUUAGGGAAGAAUAAAUGAUGGAAAAAUCAUUCUGACGGUACCUAAUGAAUAAGCCCCGGCUAACUAUGUGCCAGCAGCCGCGGUAAUACAUAGGGGGCAAGCGUUAUCCGGAAUUAUUGGGCGUAAAGGGUGCGUAGGCGGUUAAAUAAGUUUAUGGUCUAAGUGCAAUGCUCAACAUUGUGAUGCUAUAAAAACUGUUUAGCUAGAGUAAGAUAGAGGCAAGUGGAAUUCCAUGUGUAGUGGUAAAAUGCGUAAAUAUAUGGAGGAACACCAGUAGCGAAGGCGGCUUGCUGGGUCUUUACUGACGCUGAGGCACGAAAGCGUGGGGAGCAAACAGGAUUAGAUACCCUGGUAGUCCACGCCGUAAACGAUGAGUACUAAACGUUGGGUAAAACCAGUGUUGAAGUUAACACAUUAAGUACUCCGCCUGAGUAGUACGUACGCAAGUAUGAAACUUAAAGGAAUUGACGGGACUCCGCACAAGCGGUGGAUCAUGUUGUUUAAUUCGAANGUACCCGAAAAACCUCACCNGNCUUGACAUGCUUCUGCAAAACUGUAGAAACACAGUGGAGGUUAUCAGUUGCACAGNNGGUGCAUGGUUGUCGUCAGCUCGUGUCGUGAGAUGUUGGGUUAAGUCCCGCACGAGCGCAACCNNUAUUGNNAGUUACCNNNCACGUAAUGGUGGGGACUUUAGCA